CCUACGGGUGGCUGCAGUGCGGAAUAUUGGUCAAUGGACGAGAGUCUGAACCAGCCAAGUAGCGUGAAGGCUGACUGCCCUAUGGGUUGUCCCCUUCUUUUCUCUGGGAAUAAAAUGUUCCACGUGUGGGAUUUUGUAUGUACCAUAGGAAUAAGGAUCGGCUAACUCCGUUCCAGCAGCCGCGGUAAUACGGAGGAUGCGAGCGUUAUCCGGAUUUAUUGGGUUUAAAGGGAGCGUAGGUGGAUUGUUAAGUCAGUUGUGAAAGUAUGCGGGUCCACCGUCAGCUAGCAGUUGCAACUGGCAGUCUUGAGUACAGUAGAGGUGGGCGGAAUUCGUGGUGUAGCGGUGAAAUGCUUAGAUAUCACGAAGAACUCCGAUUGCGAAGGCAGCUCACUGGACUGCAACUGACACUGAGGCUCGAAAGUGUGGGUAUCAAACAGGAUUAGAUACCCUUGUAGUC
rnacentral:rRNA from 1 species